rnacentral:rRNA from 1 species
GACGAACCGUCCGAACGUUAUUCGGAAUCACUGGGCUUAAAGGGUGCGUAGGCGGCGCGGAAAGUUGGGUGUGAAAUCCCUCGGCUUAACCGAGGAACUGCGCCCAAAACUACCGUGCUCGAGGGAGAUAGAGGUGAGCGGAACUUAGGGUGGAGCGGUGAAAUGCGUUGAUAUCCUAAGGAACACCGGUGGCGAAAGCGGCUCACUGGAUCUCUUCUGACGCUGAGGCACGAAAGCUAGGGUAGCGAACGG